rnacentral:lncRNA from 1 species
GCUGCUUUUGGUAAACAGUUACACAGGAUACUUCACAAGAUACGUGAAGAGAGUCUUUGAGGUAAAAUCAAAUCCCUAUUAGGAUAAAUGAUUGAGUGUUCCUGUAAAGAAUUGUUCCCCUGGUUCAAGCAACCAGAUUUCAUUCCCAGAUGAUCAAAAAUGGACUUGAUGAAAUGGAAAAGCACUGAUAGAAACAGCCGUCGAUAUAUAGCUAAGGAUGAUAACAAGCACAACAAGGACUUACAGCAUUUGCUUUGCACCAGACACCAUCUAAAACACUUCACAAAUAUUAACUCAAAGGAACCUAUCAUGAAACUGUGUUUUUCAUCAAAU